AUCAAUUUCUAGGUACCAUAACUUGGAGUAUGUGGAUGAACGGCAUCGGCAUAGAUAUGAGAUGUUAUUGGAAUUCUUGAAGAAGCGGGCCUAAAAUUUGUAGGGAAGGAUGACAGUGGAAGCAAAUGGAGAUUUUAGAGCUUCCAAGCCAUCCAUUCUAUGUAGGAGUGCAAUUUCAUCCAGAAUUUAAAUCACGGCCUGGGAAGCCCUCAGCUCUCUUUUUAGGUCUUAUCUUGGCAGCAACAGGGCAGUUGGAAACAUAUCUUGACCAGCAUCCAAAUACAAGUUGACAGCAUUGAGUCGCUGUCUCAAUAUUCCCAGAUAAUUUUUUCAAGUGCACUAGUAAAAAGAUUGCUAUAGCAGUUAUCCUCGACUUCAUCAUCAAUGAGGUUAGCUUAUAACUCUCAUCUUACUACAAUACAAUUUUUGCAAUCUGCACAAUAUACUAAUUUCCUAAUUUCCAGUUAUCCUCCACUUUAUCAUCAAUGAGUUCCUAAUUUCCAGUUACUUCAGACAAGUGACUGAUAAACUUUAAGCGACUAAUUAAUUAGAGAUGCGCUUGCUAGCUCUUGAGUUUAAUUAUUCUUGCAUUUAGUUAAUUCCCGGUUUAGUGCAUCCCAAGUAAGAACUGACAUAAUUCUUUGUUUGAUGAAGGUCUGAUGGAUAAAGGGCAGAAGACAAUCUACCAGUGAUGAAUCUUAUGUUAUUUGUUUUUGGGAAGCACUUGACAUUUAGGUUGAACUUAAACAUGUAGCAUUUUGUUUUUGAGACAUCUUGUGAAUUUGUUGGAAGAAUGUUAGAUAUAUGGAUUGCUUUUGAAUGCAA